rnacentral:rRNA from 1 species
GAAAGUAACGAAGGGCGUACGGUGGAUGCCUAGGCUCUUACAGGCGAUGAAGGACGUGAUAAGCUGCGAAAAGCCGCGGUGAGGCGCAAAUGGCCCUUGACCCGCGGAUCUCCGAAUGGGACAACCCAAUAUCUUGAAGAGAUAUUAUCCCGCCGGUGCGGGAGGCAAACGCGGGGAACUGAAACAUCUUAGUACCCGCAGGAAAAGAAAAUAAAGAAUGAUUCCCCCAGUAGUGGCGAGCGACCGGGGAAGAGCCCAAACCGACGUUGUCUCGGCAUCGUCGGGGUUGUAGGACCGCGCCAUCGCAAGAAAGGCCGUGAGUGGAAGCGACUGGAAAGCCGCGCCAUAGAGGGUGACAGCCCCUUACACGAAGCAGCCCGAAGCGUAGCGGACUCCUGAGUAGCGCGGGACACGAGUAAUCCUGUGUGAAUCCGCCGGGCCCAUCCGGCAAGGCUAAAUACUCGUAAGAGACCGAUAGUGAACCAGUACCGUGAGGGAAAGGUGAAAAGCACCCCUUGCAGGGGAGUGAAAGAGUUCCUGAAACCGUACGCCUACAAGCGGUCGGAGCAUCUUGAAUGAUGUGACGGCGUGCCUUUUGCAUAAUGAACCUACGAGUUGCCGUCACCAGCGAGGUUAAGUGCGACGACGCACCGAGCCGCAGCGGAAGCGAGUCUUAAAAGGGCGCUAUAGUUGGUGGAGGCAGACGCGAAACCGAGUGAUCUACACUUGUCCAGGAUGAAGUCCCGGUAACACGGGAUGGAGGUCCGCACCAAUAAGCGUUGAAAAGCUUCUGGAUGAGGUGAGUGUAGGAGUGAAAGGCCAAUCAAACUCGGAGAUAGCUCGUACUCCCCGAAAGGCAUUUAGGUGCCGCCUGUGGCGUUCCCGACGUGAGGUAGAGCGACUGAUAGGAUGCGAGGGCUUCACCGCCUAUCAAGUCCUGACAAACUCCGAAUGCACGUCGGCCAAGCCAUGGAGUAAGGGCAUGGGUGCUAAGGUCCGUGCCCGAGAGGAGAAGAAUCCAGACCACCGGCUAAGGUCCCGAAAUACUGGUUAAGUUAGACUAACGCAGUCCGGCCCCCAAGACAGCUAGGAUGUUGGCUUGGAAGCAGCCAUUCAUUCAAAGAGUGCGUAACAGCUCACUAGUCGAGGAGCUGGGCGUGGAUAAUAAUCGGGUAUAAAACCAGUUACCGAAGCCGUGGGAUGCGUAAGCAUCGGUAGGGGAGCAUUGCAUGCGGCUUGGAAGGCGGGGCGCGAGCCCCUCUGGAGCGCAUGGAAACGCAAAUGUAGGUAUAAGUAACGACAAGGGGGGUGGGAUGCCCCCCCGCCGAAAGACCAAGGUUUCCUGAACAACGCUAAUCGGUUCAGGGUCAGUCGGGUCCUAAGCAUAAGCCGUAUGGCGAAGGCGAUGGAUGAAACGGUUAAUAUUCCGUUACUGUCUUGGUGUGUGACGCGGCGACGGAGUAGUGACACGGCCGCCUCCUGACGGAAAAGGAGGUUGAAGCGCAAAGGUGUCGAGGAAGGCAGGCAAAUCCACCUUCCGAGCCGAAGCGCGAAAGUACGCCGGGCCCUUUGGGGCAAGGCGAUAGUGCCGGUAAUCAGACUUCCAAGAAAACCCGCUAAACUUCAGCACCAAGUCACCCGUACUCCAAACGGACACACGUGGUCGGGUAGAAUAUACUAAGGCGCUUGGGAGAUUCACGGUUAAGGAACUAGGCAAAUUGACCCCGUACCUUCGGAAUAAGGGGUCCUCGCUUUUGCGAGGCGCAGAGAAUAGGUCCAGGCAACUGUUUAACAAAAACACAGGGCUGUGCCAAUUUGAAAGAAGAAGUAUACAGCCUGACACCUGCCCGGUGCCGGAAGGUUAAGAGGAGAGCUCAUCAGCGAUGAGAAGGCUUGAAUUGAAGCCCCGGUAAACGGCGGCCGUAACUAUAACGGUCCUAAGGUAGCGAAAUUCCUUGUCGGGUAAGUUCCGACCUGCACGAAUGG